ACCGGGAUAGACGUACCGCUGGUGCACCAGUUGUUACGCCAGGAGCAUGGCUGGGUAGCUACGUACGGACGGGAUAAGCGCUGAAAGCAUCUAAGCGUGAAGCCCCCCUCAAGAUGAGAUUUCCCAGUAUGUAAGACCCCUUGAAGACGACGAGGUAGAUAGGUUGGAGGUGGAAGCACGGCAACGUGUGGAGCUGACCAAUACUAAUCGGUCGAGGGCUUAUCCAAUAA
rnacentral:rRNA from 1 species